rnacentral:lncRNA from 1 species
AAUGUGCUCAUGGUUCACAAAAGAAGUCAUACUGGUAAGGCCUGGGAGUUUUCCCUUGAGUGUCUCCUGAGGUCCUGUGGGGGCUGAAGGAGCAAAAUGUACUGUCAAGGGCUGGGGAUGCAAGUUAGUAUUGUAGAGCACCUACCUAGCACACACAGUCCCUAAGUUCAAAGUGCAGAAGGAGGGUGGGAAAAGGAAUGUGGUCUUGAAGCAUGUUCCCCAUAGACUAGCAGGGCGGCACUUGCUUAUAAAUAGCUCCCAAGUUGUACUGAGGCACAGCUUUCUUAUUCUAGGGCAGUGUCUGAAAGGUCUUCUCAGCAUGUACCUAAUCAACCCUGUGAACGAAAGAGAAGGCUAACAGCAUGUGUGUGUCAGCUUCUGAGACUCUGAUAGUAUACUCGCUAGAAAAAAAGAAAAAAAAAAUCCCAGCCACAGUGCUGACUCUCAUGUCCAAUCCUUCACAAGACGAGAUCAAAAGCUAGAGACACACCAAAACUGACUUCACAAAUUUCUCAUUGAGAAACUACAGAGAAUACUUGUUUUAAUCUUGUUAACACUUGGGAUUCUCUAUUCUGAGGCAUUAGUGAAUCAUUAGUGAGGCAUUAGCCUAGCAGCAAAAUGGUCUUUUCGGAAAGGGUGUAGGUCAGCAUAAAGUGGUUCACCCUCCAGUCUGAGUCUCUGAGUCAGCUAGCCAUAUUGCCACAAGUUUUCAUCACAGAGCAGUAGGGGACUUUCUGUCAAACUCCUAUUACGGUAGAAGGUUUGCACAGGCUUUAAGAGAAUAAGAGAAUGCAAUAGUCUAUUCAAAACUAAGAAAAUGUUCAAGAGCCAUGCCUACCCCUGCCACUGGCACUGUGGGAAGCCUAACCAGCUUCAGUCGGCUCUUCUACUCCUGUUCCACAUGUAUAUGAACAGUCAACUCCUUGUUCAACCUAACUGUUACUCCACCACCACUAAGGACACUAAAGAGGCUUCCUAGAAACAUCAGUGGUGUUCAGGACAAGUGUUUGCAUGGUAUAAGGUUUCUUUGAGAAAAAAACUAAAGAGAAACAUUACUCUUCUUUCCAUAGAAGUUUCUUGAAAGGUAGAUAUUAUAACCUGGCAAAUUCACCUAACUCUUAUAGCCACAGAAAGCUCACAUGUAAAACGUAUAGAGCCUGGGCUAUCACUACCCAUACACUGGCUUCUUUGGGGCCUGAGAAGGCUGGCAUCUGCUAGUGCAGUGUCCAGGAGGGAGAACAACACGCACAGAUGAAUGAUAGCGAGUUUUACUAGACUAUCUCAAGAAGCUGAGGAAGAUGGCUUGGAAAGGACAACCUUGUCUGUUUCUUACACGGGACUCAACAAGCGUGCGUUAUCCAAAAAGGAAUCAGGAGCUAGAACAGGUAUAGAGCAGUAGUGUCAUCACCAAGGAAUGAAGGCGUUUCCAAGGUUGGGUUUUAUAUAUGGACAGAAGCAGUUUCUAAAAUUAUAUAUUCCACGUAUAGUAUAUGUACAAAUGAUUUAUAAGAUGAUACUUAAAUAAAUGUUUGUCUUCAACAAAAGUUUAGCUCUAAAGUUAGGCAAAUUUGGCUUUUCUGAAAGGAGCCUUUAGUUCUCAAGUGACUCGUAGAAAUAGACCUGGCAUACCCAGCCCUGAGAAAACCAAAUGUGAAGGUAACCUUGCUCUUGCCUUCUGUGAGGCAGUGGAAAUUAACAUGGAGAACCCUGUGACAGAUGCUCAACCAGUCUAGGGCCUGUAGCAAACCAUUGCUGAUAGAGAGCAAACCUCUGACUGUACAGUAAAAAUCCCCUUAGAUAUUUGACAAAUGAAUCAAAUUCUCGUGUAGUAAAUUGCUAACAUAUGACUGCCUGCCUUG